rnacentral:rRNA from 1 species
UUCGCCCUUAGAGUUUGAUCCUGGCUCAGGACGAACGCUGGCGGCGCGCCUAACACAUGCAAGUCGAACGAGCGAGAGGAGGUUUACUUUCUCAAGCGAGUGGCGAACGGGUGAGUAACGCGUGAGGAACCUGCCUCAAAGAGGGGGACAACAGUUGGAAACGACUGCUAAUACCGCAUAAGCCCACGACCCGGCAUCGGGUAGAGGGAAAAGGAGCAAUCCGCUUUGAGAUGGCCUCGCGUCCGAUUAGCUAGUUGGUGAGGUAAUGGCCCACCAAGGCGACGAUCGGUAGCCGGACUGAGAGGUUGAACGGCCACAUUGGGACUGAGACACGGCCCAGACUCCUACGGGAGGCAGCAGUGGGGAAUAUUGCACAAUGGGGGAAACCCUGAUGCAGCGACGCCGCGUGGAGGAAGAAGGUCUUCGGAUUGUAAACUCCUGUUGUUGAGGAAGAUAAUGACGGUACUCAACAAGGAAGUGACGGCUAACUACGUGCCAGCAGCCGCGGUAAAACGUAGGUCACAAGCGUUGUCCGGAAUUACUGGGUGUAAAGGGAGCGCAGGCGGGAAGACAAGUUGGAAGUGAAAUCCAUGGGCUCAACCCAUGAACUGCUUUCAAGACUGUUUUUCUUGAGUAGUGCAGAGGUAGGCGGAAUUCCCGGUGUAGCGGGUGAAAUGCGUAGAUAUCGGGAGGAACACCCAGGGGCGAAGGCGGCCUACUGGGCACCAACUGACGCUGAGGCUCGAAAGUGUGGGUAGCAACCAGGGAUUAGAUACCCUGGUAGUCCACACUGGAAACGAUGAUUACUAGGUGUUGGGAGGAUUGACCCCUUCAGUGCCGCAGUUAACACAAUAAGUAAUCCACCUGGGGAGUACGACCGCAAGGUUGAAACUCAAAGGAAUUGACGGGGGCCCGCACAAGCAGUGGAGUAUGUGGUUUAAUUCGACGCAACGCGAAGAACCUUACCAAGUCUUGACAUCCUGCGACGCACAUAGAAAUAUGUGUUUCCUUCGGGACGCAGAGACAGGUGGUGCAUGGUUGUCGUCAGCUCGUGUCGUGAGAUGUUGGGUUAAGUCCCGCAACGAGCGCAACCCUUAUGGUCAGUUACUACGCAAGAGGACUCUGGCCAGACUGCCGUUGACAAAACGGAGGAAGGUGGGGAUGACGUCAAAUCAUCAUGCCCUUUAUGACUUGGGCUACACACGUACUACAAUGGCGUUAAACAAAGAGAAGCAAGACCGCGAGGUGGAGCAAAACUCAGAAACAACGUCCCAGUUCGGACUGCAGGCUGCAACUCGCCUACACGAAGUCGGAAUUGCUAGUAAUCGCAGAUCAGCAUGCUGCGGUGAAUACGUUCCCGGGCCUUGCACUCACCGCCCGUCA